rnacentral:lncRNA from 1 species
CCACGCUCCUUCUGCGCAUGUGCAGCCGUAGCCUCCUCGUUCGUCUUCUCAGGACUCCAGAGAACCGUUGGGGAACUUUGGGGUGUGCUCGGAAAAUGCAGGGUGCGCACCUAGGGCGAGGGACUAGCUGGGAAGGGUGUGCCUGUGCUUGGGGAUGGGAGCAGAAAGUGUCUGGGACCUCGUUGCCCCCCGCGGCGGUGUAUAAACCCGGGCAGGCCGUCAGAGCGGAGCUUCAGAGCAGAGACAAGAGCCCAGAAAGGAGCAGAUGCUAGAUUUGCAAGAUCAGAAGCAGGUCUUGAUCCUCCUGCCCAGAAUGAACCAGACUUGAUGAUGAUGCCACCUUCAGGAGCCACCACACUGUGUGACAGUGGGGCAUUUGGGCCGUCCCUGGGAAGUACAGCUGAACCACAGUCCUCUGUACUCGCCCAGGAGCCACAGAAAGUGAACAUCCCUCAGGUGAGCUCUUUAUUCAUUCCCCAUUUUAUAUUGUAGUGGAUUUAUAAGGUUUAGCAGGAUCCAUGCAUUAAAGGAAAAGGAGAAGUAGAAAUAGUAGAAAUCAAGUCAGUCUUGAGGAAAAAUAUACCAUGUUUUACUAUUAAUUGUGAUGUUGGCUGUUAGCUUUGAGUGGGUAACUUUGUCAGGGUAAGUAGUUUCCCACUCAGCAACCUGUUUCAAUCUCUUUACUUGUGAUUGGGCUAUUCAGAUUCUCUGUUUCUUCUUGAUUCAGUUUUGGGAAGUUGUAUGAGUCUUAGAAUUUAUCUGUUUCUUUUAGAUUGUCCAGUUUGUUGCUAUAUAGUUUUUCAUUGUAUUCUCUUAUAAUCCUUUAUAUUUCUGUGGUAUGUGUUGUAAUUUCUCCUCUUUCAUUUCUAAUUUUAUUUAUUUGAGCCUUCUCUCUUUUUUUCUUAGAGAGUCAGGCUAAGGGUUUGUCAAUUUUGCAUAUGUUCUCAAAGAACCAGUUCUUGGUUUCACUGAUCUUUUCUACUAUUCUUUUUUCUUUUUUGGUUUCAAUUUCAUUUAUUUCUGCUCUGAUUUUUAUUAUUUCCCUCCUUCGGCUGACUUUGGGCUUUGUUGGUUCUUCAUUUUCUAACUGUAUUUUAAGAUUGCUUAUGUGAGAUCUUUCUUGUUUUUUAAGCUGGGCCUGUAUUGCUAUGAAUUUCCCUCAUAGGACCACUUUUUCUGCAUCCCAUAUGAGUUGGUGUGGUGUAUUUUCAUUUUCAUUUGUCUCCAGAUAUUUUUUGAUUUCUCUUUUAGUUUCUUCAAUGAUCCAUUGGUUGUUCAGUAGCAUGUUCUGUAGUCUCCACAUAUUUGUCACUUUCCCA